rnacentral:rRNA from 1 species
UACGGGGGGAGCAAGCGUUGUUCGGAUUUACUGGGCGUAAAGGGCGCGUAGGCGGCCACCGCAAGUCAGUUGUGAAAUCUCCGGGCUUAACCCGGAGCGGCCAAGUGAUACUGUUGUGCUAGAGUGCGGAAGGGGCUACUGGAAUUCUCGGUGUAGCGGUGAAAUGCGUAGAUAUCGAGAGGAACACCUGCGGCGAAGGCGGGUAGCUGGGCCGACACUGACGCUGAGGCGCGAAAGCCAGGGGAGCGAACGGG